rnacentral:rRNA from 1 species
CGCCCCCCUAAUUUUGCAAGUCGAGCGAUGAAACCCUUCGGGGUGAAUUAGCGGCGGACGGGUGAGUAACACGUGGGUAACCUGCCUCAAAGAGGGGAAUAGCCUUCCGAAAGGAAGAUUAAUACCGCAUAAUAUGUUUUGGUCGCAUGACUGGAACAUCAAAGGAGUCUUCUUCGUAAGAAGAAGCAUCCGCUUUGAGAUGGACCCGCGGCGCAUUAGCUAGUUGGUGAGGUAACGGCUCACCAAGGCGACGAUGCGUAGCCGACCUGAGAGGGUGAUCGGCCACAUUGGAACUGAGACACGGUCCAGACUCCUACGGGAGGCAGCUGUGGGGAAUAUUGCGCAAUGGGGGAAACCCUGACGCAGCAACGCCGCGUGAAUGAUGAAGGCCUUCGGGUUGUAAAGUUCUGUCUUCUGGGACGAUAAUGACGGUACCAGAGGAGGAAGCCACGGCUAACUACGUGCCAGCAGCCGCGGUAAUACGUAGGUGGCAAGCGUUGUCCGGAUUUACUGGGCCGUAAAGGAUGCGUAGGCGGACAUUUAAGUUCA